rnacentral:rRNA from 1 species
GACGAACGCUGGCGGCGUGCUUAACACAUGCAAGUCGAACGGAAAGGCCCUGCUUUUGUGGGGUGCUCGAGUGGCGAACGGGUGAGUAACACGUGAGUAACCUGCCCUUGACUUUGGGAUAACUUCAGGAAACUGGGGCUAAUACCGGAUAGGAGCUCCUGCUGCAUGGUGGGGGUUGGAAAGUUUCGGCGGUUGGGGAUGGACUCGCGGCUUAUCAGCUUGUUGGUGGGGUAGUGGCUUACCAAGGCUUUGACGGGUAGCCGGCCUGGGAGGGUGACCGGCCACAUUGGGACUGAGGUACGGCCCAGACUCCUACGGGAGGCAGCAGUGGGGAAUAUUGCACAAUGGGCGGAAGCCUGAUGCAGCAACGCCGCGUGCGUGAUGACGGCCUUCGGGUUGUAAACCGCUUUCGCCUGUGACGAAGCGUGAGUGACGGUAAUGGGUAAAGAAGCACCGGCUAACUACGUA